UCGCCUUUAGUUCAGUGGUAGAACGCCUGACUGUUAAUCAGGAAGUCCUCGGUUCGAAUCCGAGAGGGUGAG
rnacentral:tRNA from 1 species